GACGAACGCUGGCGGCGUGCCUAACACAUGCAAGUCGAACGGAAAGGCCCUGCUUUUGUGGGGUGCUCGAGUGGCGAACGGGUGAGUAACACGUGAGUAAGCUGCCCUUGACUGUGGGAUAACUUCAGGAAACUGGGGCUAAUACCGGAUAGGAGCUUCUGCUGCAUGGUGGGGGUUGGAAAGUUUCGGCGGUUGGGGAUGGACUCGCGGCUUAUCGGCUUGUUGGGUGGGUAGUUGCUUACGGAGGGCUUGACGGGUAGCCUGCCUGGGAGGGGAACCAGCCACAUGACGACUGAGAUACGGCCCAGACUCGUACGGUAGGCAGAAGUGGGGAAUAUUGCCCAAUGGGCGGGAGCCUGAUGCAGCAACGCCGCGUGCGGGAUGACGGCCUUGGGGUUGUAAACCGCUGUCGCCUGAGACGAAGCGUGAGUGACGGUAAUGGGUAAAGAAGCACCGGCUAACUACGUG
rnacentral:rRNA from 1 species